GCAAUCGAUCAUACCAGCACUAAUGCACCAGAACCCAUCAGAACUCUGCAGUUAAGCGUGCUUGGGCUUAGAGUAGUAGUACUAAGAUGGGUGACCUCUUGGGAAGUCCUCGUGUUGAUUGCC